CCCCAGGGCGACAGUGUGGGAGGAGCGCGGAGGCGGCGGCUAGAGCCGAGCAGCGCACGGGAGCGCGCCCCGCAGCCUGCUUCCCGGCCUCCGGUCAGAGCUCGCCGUGCAGUCCGCGGGCAGACAGUUUACAGAAGAAUCAAGACUUGGAAUUUGAAAGAAACAGAGAACGAUUUGAAUUUUUAAAGUUCUAGUGGGGUUCUCAGGCCUUUUGCAACAUGCGGAUUAUUCCCCCUGGCUCAGGAGUCAUCCACCAGGCAAGUCUACAUGCCAUCCAUCAGGCCUGAGCAGAGCAGGAGGGGAGGAGCAGGAAGUUAGACUGAAGUUGAAUCUUGGCCUUGGAGAGCCCUGGAUAUAGUAACAGUAGACGGAGGUCGGGUCAGGAUGCACUCCAGAGGUAGGGGCAGGUUUCAGCACUGACAGCGCAGCUGCAGGGAUCUUGGAGGCAAUGCCUGGCAGUGCUUCUGAGUCCCGCUGCCCCAGCGAUGGCCCCAGUACCUGAGACUUGUCCUUUUGGCCCUGCACCCAACAUCCAAUCCAGCCCAUUGGACUUGUACACCUGCUUCUUCUCUGACCUCUGGAUUAAUGAAAGGUAAUCUCAGGACACCGUCAGCUCAACAGUUACAGAACUACUGUAGUCGCGUCUUCAGGAAUUGCUUGCUUUUUAAGGAUGAAAAUGCUGGAGGCAAACACUGUUUAACAGGCAAGCCUCCUGUGGCAAUAUUUGGAGUCACACCCUGGCGGAUUUGGAUUACAGACAGCCCAUACGAUGUCUCAUCCAACAUUUCAAGGAGAACUUAAGCUAUGUUCCCUAGAAUGUAAUGGGACAGUUAUAUUUAUCUAAAUAAGACUUCCCAGCAUAUAACACAGCUGCCUUGAAGCAUGACGGCACCAACACCAUGCUCAUUUUAGGUUUAUACCAAGAAGACAGCCAAAGCACAUGAAGACAUUCUGCAGUGGCUACAGACUCCAGGGCUCCUGGAAAAACCACAUGUGGUUUUGUAUUAAGUUUCCAAGGAAUGGUGUUGAUUCUUGGAACCAAAUGUUUUAUUUUAUUUUAUUUUAUUUGUGGUAAUUAUGUUUGUUUGUUUGUUUCUUUCUUUCUUUCUUUCUUUAUGGUGGAGGUGCUGGGGAUUGAACCCAGAACCUUGAUGCAUGCCAAGCAAGUGCUCUACCACUGAGGUAUACCCUCCCACCCCCCAAAAGUUGUAUGUCUCAUUGUCAUAAUUGUCUUCUGUGUAGAAUGAAUAGAAUGUAAAAUCUAUACAUGCUUUAAACUUCCUAAAGGUUGAAUUUGCAUCUAUUUUACACAUAUUUUUGCAGUUAGUUUAUUUGUCAACAAUAGUAAUUUUGUUUAACUUUUUUGUCCUAUUUGUGGUAAACUCCAGAGGCAUGGAGAUCUUUAAAUUUCUACAGGAAACUGUGCAGUUUAUUUUACACUUUUCAUUUAGGCCUGCAAGAAAUAUUUUCUCAGAAAUGCUGAUUAGCUACUGAGCCAAGUUUUUGUCAUUUAGAGAUCUUCCCUGUUUUAUUUUGUAAUGACAGCUGUUAUGAGAUUGUCUCUGUUGAUCAGUGGAUGACUAUAAACAAAGCAGAAACAAUUGGCUCCUAAGGGUAACACCACUCACUUCUCACCAUCUACUUGCUGUGUCUUAGCUCUACCAGUAACAUAAUGUUUUAAGGCUUUCUUGUAGAAGAUUCUUAUAGGUAGUUCUCUAAGGAUAUUUAUAUAUUUUCUUUGAAUGUGCUUAUGAUCAAUGUCAAAGGAAAAAUUUUUAUUUGUUAUAAAACAUAAGCAACAGCUAUUAAAAUUGAGAGCUAAGUAGUUUUUCCCAAAAUAGCAGUUUCUAGAAUUACCAGGGGGGAUUUUGAGAAACAGCUCUCCUAUGUCCUGCCCCAGACAUAUUAAAUAACACACUGUAAGGCCUCAGAAUUAUAAAAAAACAAAACAAAACAAAACAAAAAAAGCCCUUCCCAGUUUAGGGAGCCAUUGUUUUAAAACGGGUGGUGAUACCAGAUUUGCCAGAGUAACAGAGAGACCUUUAGGUAUUCAUUCUUGUGUAUUCAGAGGUCAAAAUUCUAGACUCUGGGAGAAGCAAACUGAGGAUCAGGUUCUACUAAUUAGGAGAUAAAGCAGCAAAUUAAAAACAAAGCAAAAUGACUACAAAAUAGUCAAGUUAAUUAAACAAUUUGAAACAUAAAUGUACAAGUUCUCAGAAAUGUAUAUAUUUUAUGUAACUUACAAAUUAUAGUAAAUCCAGCUAUUUUAAUCAAGAACAAGUCAAAACUGGUCACCAUAAUAAUAAUUCUUUGCAUUGUUUGAUUUGUGAUUUGUUGUUUAAAUAUACUUUGAUAAAUAGAAUCUCUUUUGUCUUCAAAACUGAGAGAGAGACAGGGAAGUGUUUGGUAUUCUCAUUUUGAGACUCAAGAGUUCUUUCCAAGAUUGCAGAGAAUUGGAGCCAUGGCACAGAAAUCCCUGCAUGCUGAUCCAGUCAAUCAGAUCCCAAAUUUGAGAGGCAGAAUUUAGGAGGUUGCAUUAUCAGUUAUCUCAUGUUAUUUUAGGGUGAAUGAAAGGAUAUAAUGCAUUUAUUGUAAAAGUAAAGCUUUACAACUUAAAGGGGAGCUUUAUGUAUCUAGAAACUCUCAUUCCUCAAAGGAGUACUUAAGAGAACAAUGCUACAUCAAUGUUUAGGUUGGGAGGGAUAUUAAAGUUCAUUUAGUGUAGUUCUCUAAUUUUAUAGAUGAAGAUCAUAAGACUCAGAGACUUGUAGAGAUUGCCUAGUGAUUCAAAGCUAAUCUGACCAAUUUUGGCAAAAAAGGACAUCUUUCCUAAGUUCCAUAAUUAUGGAUUUGUUAAACAGUAAACUACAUUGGUGAGUGAUUUAUGUUAGUUCAACUUGCUAAUAUGUUUAACUUUAAAUUUCACUUUUCUUGCAACAUAAAAUAUUUUGUAAUGCUUUACAAUAAAGUAACCUCUUUAUUCUCUAAAUAAGUUAUUGUAAAACUGUGAUAAAAUUGAUAAUUUUAUGUCUAAGGGAUUUCACCCUCAACCAAAUUACAAGUUUGCUCUCUUUAUUUGAACACUAAUAAUGGCAUUUUCAAAGGAGCAGCAAAAGUAAAAUAUUUUCUUUUAGUUUCUUUGUAAAGUUUAACCUUUUUUACUUUGCUAUUAUGGUAAUAGCUAGAAAAUUACAUAAAUCAAUAUUUUGAGGGCACGUUCUCCUAGUUGAUUUAAAUCACUGUGCUAACUGAAAAGUUUCAUAUUUCAAAAACUCCACAAGUUACUACAUUGAUCAGUAUCUAAUUUAUGCAUUGUGGAUAUAAAAAUGUAUUUAAGGAGAGGAAAUUGAUUCUAUGUGCUUCUUACAAUCUGAGAAGUUAGUGAAUGUGGCAAUAUUUUAAAGGAGGGGGUAGAAAAAAAUGUUCUGCUUUAUAAUCAAAAUGCUGUCUUCCUAUUAUGAGGUCAUUAUAUUCUGGCACUGUGAAAUUCUUACAUGAAGAUUUUAAAGUGGAAAUAAACCCAUAAUAGUUUAUAAAAUAUUUUCAGUAUGACAAUAAUCUAAAAAUAUGGGGAAAAUUGUCAUCUCUGACUUAGGUCCAACAAGACUGGAUAAAAUGUGUGUUAUGGUUCAAUGCAAAAUAAGCUUCUCCUGUCUUAUCAGAAAUUUUCUGUCAGUGAGUCUCUCUCCCUCCACUGAUGUGAAGAAAGAAGUGUAGAGCCCUUAAAAUUGUUACUAGGAUGAGUGUGGCAGUUUGGGGAUGAAGUUAACACUGCUGAAAGUAAAGAAGAAAGAUGGAGAAAAUCUGUGUCUUGAUUGACAUUCCGUUACACCUGAAUCAAAUCAGCUCCAAAGGCUGGUCUCUCUUUGCUUCUACUUAUUAAAGCCAAUUAAUGCCCUUUAACUUUUUAAGCCACUUUGAGACAGGUUUUCUGUUGCUUAUAAAUGAAUGCCCCUUAAUGGGCAGAUCAUUGUAAAACCUAAAAUUGUACCUUAUGCUGCUGUCAUUGAUGCUGUACUUUUCUGUGGGUUUAUAUCCAAUGAUGUGAGUGUUGUAGAGCCUGAGGCUCUAUAAGUGUAUCCAUUUAUGAAUCAAACAAACAAAUAAACCCUAGGUAUAAAAACA